GGAAUUCGUGGUGUAGCGNUGAAAUGCUUAGAUAUCACGAAGAACUCCGAUUGCGANNGCAGCUUGCUGGACUGUAACUGACGCUGAGGCACGAAAGCGUGGGGAUCAAACAGGAUUAGAUACCCUGGUAGUCCACGCCGUAAACGAUGAAUGCUAGCUGUUAGCGAUAUACUGUUAGCGGCACAGAGAAAUCGUUAAGCAUUCCACCUGGGGAGUACGCCGGCAACGGUGAAACUCAAAGGAAUUGACGGGGGCCCGCACAAGCGGAGGAACAUGUGGUUUAAUUCGAUGAUACGCGAGGAACCUUACCUGGGCUUAAAUUGCAGUGGAAUAACGUGGAAACAUGUUAGCCUUCGGGCCGCUGUGAAGGUGCUGCAUGGUUGUCGUCAGCUCGUGCCGUGAGGUGUCGGCUUAAGUGCCAUAACGAGCGCAACCCUCAUCGAUAGUUACUAACAGGUUAAGCUGAGGACUCUAUCGAGACUGCCGACGUAAGUCGUGAGGAAGGUGGGGAUGACGUCAAAUCAGCACGGCCCUUACGUCCAGGGCUACACACGUGUUACAAUGGGGGGUACAAAGGGCAGCUACCUGGCGACAGGAUGCUAAUCUCAAAAACCUCUCUCAGUUCGGAUUGGAGUCUGCAACCCGACUCCAUGAAGCUGGAUUCGCUAGUAAUCGCGCAUCAGCCACGGCGCGGUGAAUACGUUCCCGGGCCUUGUACACACCGCCCGUCAAGCCAUGGGAGCCGGGGGGACCUGAAGUAUGCAACCGUAAGGAGCGUCCUAGGGUAAAACUGGUGACUGGGGCU
rnacentral:rRNA from 1 species